rnacentral:rRNA from 1 species
UACGGAGGGGGCUAGCGUUGUUCGGAUUUACUGGGCGUAAAGCGCGUGUAGGCGGGGUGUUAAGUUGGGGGUGAAAUCCCGGAGCUCAACUCCGGAACUGCAUCCAAUACUGGCGACCUGGAGCAGAGGAGAGGCGAGUGGAAUUCCGAGUGUAGAGGUGAAAUUCGUAGAUAUUCGGAGGAACACCAGUGGCGAAGGCGACUCGCUGGACUCUUGCUGACGCUGAGACGCGAAAGCGUGGGGAGCAAACAGG